CUACAUCCCCUUUUAUACUUGUAAGCUCACCUUUUGGACCUAGGAUGAGCAUUUUCUUGGAAAUUAUGCAAAAACAUGCACUUGAGGUGUAAAAAUACGGAUCUGAUGCUAUUCAGGCAUGUGGUUCGACCUAGAGUUCGACCUAGGUCUUGGUCAAACCAUGGUCGAAUCGAAAUUGGCGAUUUUUUGAACUUCAAGCUUCUGGUUCGACCAAAAUGGCUAUGGUUUGACCAAAAUGUCUGAUCGAACCAAACUGUCGUGGUCGAAUCACACUUGCGCCGUCUCACAGUUUCGCGUCACACAUCCGUGCUCCAAUUUGAGUGAUUCCUACGCUCACGCGAUACUAUGUUCCUUGGAUUUCUAUCUAUAUAAAAAACUCAAGAAAAUCUUAGAUUUGAAUCUGUAACAAGUCAUGGAAAAUAAAACAUCCGUUCUGUUCGGCACAACUUGCGCGAUAUCACAAUUUUGCUCCUAACUUCCUCGUUUGGAAUUCGAUUGAGGUGUUCUUUACGCCAAAAUGAUCCUAUUUUCAGUGGCUUCUCAACCAUAUAUUACACUUUCCUUUCAGAGCUCUACAUGAAUACAGAAAAAUUACACAAGUUGGACGUGCAUUUUUCAGCAUUUAUACACAAAUUGCACCUUUUCUCCAACUUUUUACUUUUGAUCACUUUUUCCACCUAAAACACAAUAAAAUACCUUAAGUGCACCUUUUUCUUACAUAUAUUGAAUAUAAGACACUUGUGCUAAUAUAUGACUACAAUAUCAAUAAAAAAAGGUGUUAAAUUGGACACUAAAACACGCUUAUUUUCACUCUCAUCACCAUACUCCCAGGAAAAGCUCGAACGACCUUUAAACAUAAAUAAAAGUGUACCUGUUGGUUUAUAUGUGCACCAACCAAUCAUUUUACAAUAUUAUGGAUAGAAAUAUAGAAGGGAGAAUGUACUAAAUAUAGUACUAACAUGAUUACAAAUGAAAUUAAAGGAGAAGAAGCAGAGGAUCUUCUUACACCUUUUUACAGAAUCUUCAAGAAAGCAGCGUGUAGAAGCUGAGUUAAGGUUGAACCUCUUCCCGCAAGAAGAAACACGCCCUGGUAGUGCUAUAGUCUAGGCAGAUCUUCCCCAAAGGUAAAACAAUUUUUUCUUUCCGAUGAGGCAGCACCACAAUCACUGGAACUCCGACGAACGAAAGAAGAUGGAGAACUGGAUUGUUAGCUAAGAUGUAAAUGCUUUGUGAUGUAAAUGCUUGUUGAUUGUGGUGUGUUUGAAUGAAUGGUAAAUGACCCUAUUUAUAGGUGCACCAUUCCACUCAGCCAUAAUGGUGAUUGUGACGUAUUAAUUGCUGAUUGAGUGAUUUCCUCUAAUCAACAAUUAUGACGAUUUGAUUUGAUUACGUGAUUUCCUCUAAUCAGCAAUUAUGGAGGGUUAUUGCAUUUAUGAAAGGAUUCGUCUUCCAACUUAAUCUGAUUUUUGAGAAUUUUUCUCCUACAUGAGACAAUAAUUUCGUAUUAAUUCCGAUUACGCCUCACAUAACCUCUCCAGUAGAUGAGCCAAAUUACACUCACCCACUAUACUCAUUUAAUUGGUGAUUAUUUUAAUAAUUAACCCUUACUAACCAAUUAAAUCCAAUUUAAUUUAAUUAAUUAAUAAAUUAAUUCCUAUAGUACCUGUACCCAAAACCGACACAGGCGGGUAGGUAGAGAAUACCUAGGGGCCCGAGACAUCUCUCUCUAAGGAACUUGGCAAAAUAGUCCCAUAAAUUCGGGAGAAGGGUGCCUCCUCACAAAUGGGGUCGCAGUGACCAGGCUCGGGCAAUUGUUUACCAAAAACACAGGUCUCUGCAAAGUCGUAAGACCAUGUAUGGGGGCUGACGCCUAACCAGUGCUGGAAGGUCAAGGAAGUUGGUGACCUGAUGACAGGGGAGCCGGCGAUCGAUGCCCCAGUGAAUGGUGGCCAUAACUAUAGCAGUCCUAAGGUAGUGAAAUUCCUUGUUGGGUAAGUUUCGACCCGCACGAAAGGCGUAACGAUCUAGGCACUGCCUCGGAGAGAGGCUCUGUGAAAUAGACAUGUUUAUGAAGAUGCGGACUACCUGAACCUGGACAGAAAGACCCUAUGAAGCUUGACUGUUACCUGGGAUUGGGGUUGUGCCUUUCCUACGCAGCUUAGUUGGAAGACGAUGAAGGCCUCCUUCCAGGGGGCCCGAACCAUCAGUGAGAUACCACUCUGGAAGAGCUAGAAUUCUAACCUUGUGUUAGGACCCACGGGCCAGGGGACAGUCUCAGGUAGACAGUUUCUAUGGGGUGUAGGCCUCCUCAAAGGUAAUGGAAGCAUGCAAAGGUUUCCUCAGGUCGAACGGAGAUUGGCCCUCGAGUGCAAAGGCAGAACGAAGCUUGAUUCCAAGGCCCACCCAUCGAGCAGGGACAAAAAUCAUCCUAAGUGAUCCGACGGUGCCGAGUGGAAGGGCCAUCGCUCUACUGAUAAAAGUUACUCUAUGGAUAACAGGCUGAUCUUCCCCAAUAGCUCACAUUGACGGGAAGGUUUAACACCUCGAUUUCGGCUCUUCACCACCUGGGGCUGUAGUAUGUUCCAAGGGUUGGGCUGUUCGCCCAUUAAAGCAGUACGUGAGCUAGGUUUAGAACAUCGUGAGACAGUUUGGUCCAUGUCCGGUGUUGGCGUUAAAGAAUUAAGAGGACCUUUCCCUAGUACAAAAGGACCAGGAAGGGCGCACCUCUAGUGUACUAGUUAUCGUGCCCACAAUAAAUGCUGGGUAGCCAAAUGCGGAGCGGAUAACUACUGAAAGCAUCUAAGUAGUAAGCCCACCCCAAGAUGAGUGCUCUCCUAUUAUGACUUUCCCAGAGCUUCCGGUAGCACAACCAAGGCAGCGACGGGUUCUCUGCCUCUUCAGGGAUGGAGCAACAGAAGUUUUGAGAAUUCAAGAAAAGGUCACAACGAGACGAGCCAUUUAUCAUUAAGAUAGGUGUCAAGUGGAAGUGCAGUGAUGUAUGCAGCUGAGGCAUCCUAACAGACCGGUAGAAUUGAAC
rnacentral:rRNA from 1 species